rnacentral:lncRNA from 1 species
AUUUAUUUAGAUCGUAAUUCUGCUGUUACUCUGGUCUAGACUAAGUUCAGCUGAUCUGACCUGGCUUGCUCAUGUGUCUGCAGAUGAUUGACAGAUUGGCUACAAGUGAGUUAUUUCAGAUGGCCCCACUCCCAAAUCUGGAAGCUGACUGGGAUGACAAUGGCAGUUACCCCUGUGCUGUCCAUUACCCAGCAGACCAAUUCAAGCUCCUACUGAUGGUGGCGAUGGCCCAUCUGGAAC